rnacentral:rRNA from 1 species
UACGUAGGGCGCAAGCGUUGUCCGGAAUUAUUGGGACGUAAAGAGCUCGUAGGCGGCUUGUCACGAUUCGGACUGUCGAAAUCCCGCCGGCUCAACUGCGGGUCUGCAGUCGAUACGGGCAGGCUAGAGUUCGGUAGGGGAGACUGGAAUUCCUGGUGUAGCGGUGAAAUGCGCAGAUAGUCAGGAGGAACACCGGUGGCGAAGGCGGGUCUCUGGGGCCGAUGACUGACGCUGGAGGAGCGAAAGCGUGGGGAGCGAACAGG